GAUGAACGCUGGCGGCGUGCCUAAUACAUGCAAGUCGAGCGAACAGAUGAGGAGCUUGCUCCUCUGACGUUAGCGGCGGACGGGUGAGUAACACGUGGAUAACCUACCUAUAGGACUGGGAUAACUUCGGGAAACCGGAGCUAAUACCGGAUAAUAUAUUGAACCGCAUGGUUCAAUAGUGGAAGACGGUUUUGCUGUCACUUAUAGAUGGAUCCGCGCCGCAUUAGCUAGUUGGUAAGGUAACGGCUUACCAAGGCAACGAUGCGUAGCCGACCUGAGAGGGUGAUCGGCCACACUGGAACUGAGACACGGUCCAGACUCCUACGGGAGGCAGCAGUAGGGAAUCUUCCGCAAUGGGCGAAAGCCUGACGGAGCAACGCCGCGUGAGUGAUGAAGGUCUUCGGAUCGUAAAACUCUGUUAUUAGGGAAGAACAAAUGUGUAAGUAACUAUGCACGUCUUGACGGUACCUAAUCAGAAAGCCACGGCUAACUACGUG
rnacentral:rRNA from 1 species